CGUUUAUACGCUAAUUCAACGUUCAGUUAUUACUCUACUCAGUACACCAAUACAUGUCACUCUGUGCCGAACACCUGCGGUCGACGAGUGUUCACAACAUUUCGUGUGGUUUUCGCCAGUUCGGAAAAUUAUUAUAUUCAAGAAUCCCCGCGGAGUUCGACUGAUUGUGAUGGGCCACGUCUACAUCAGGCUGGUAAAAAUUGUGAGGCAGAUUGUAUCGAAUCCUCGAAUGGGGAAUUUCAAGUAGACGUAAGGGGUAGUGGGAUGAAGCUUGAAAGGCAGGUGCUCGUUGGCGGAACUAGCGUUUACUCAAAUAAUGACCAAGUGGUUACAGGAAUUUGCACUGUUUGUGGAAAAACAUGUUAUAUUUCAGGCCUGGGAAAGUUGGCUCUUGCAAAUGACAC